GCAAACUUGGUCAUUUAGAGGAAGUAAAAGUCGUAACAAGGUUUCCGUAGGUGAACCUGCGGAAGGAUCAUUACAAAACAAAAUGAAGACGGGUUCAAUCCCCUACGGCAUCCUGUUCGCAGGACUGAGCCGGGGUGGGUCAACCCUUCAUUCUGUAACCCUAUGUUUACAUAACCUCUGUUGCCUCGGCGAGUAGUGGGCUUCGGCCCCCGCCAGUGGGCCCCCGUCCGGACCCCUAGAAAUAGCGGCUCAGGGGGGGCUUACCCGCGUUUACUCGCCAGAGGACCAACUCUUAAACUCUUUUACACUGAACCAGUAUUCUGAAAAUUCGUUAUCUAAUAACAUUAAAACUUUCAACAACGGAUCUCUUGGUUCUGGCAUCGAUGAAGAACGCAGC
rnacentral:misc_RNA from 1 species